AGACUUGGCCCACAAGGGUGUCGUUUGUCAACCCUUCCUCUUUGGCCCAGCCUCAGGAAAGUUCUUCCAGGUUCCAUGCCUGAGGCAGUUUGAAAGUGGAAGAAUCACACAGCGUUGGAGAAUAUAAUAGAACACCUGCAACACCAGUGGGCAAAAGACCCCUUUCUUCUUUGAAAACUUGACAGUGGAUAGAGUGGUGAAAAGGAUGAGGGCCACAAAAAAGAGACUGGAGAAUGGUGGGAGGAGGAUUUGUGAAUGGUGAGGAAUUCAAGAGCCUGCCUGGGGGAAGAAGAGGGUGUGUGGACCUUGACAAUCCAUUGCUCACUUUAUCCCCAGGAUGGUGUAGUUUAUUGGAGGAAGAGUUAAUCCAUUGACUGGCUGUGUCAAUUUAGGCAAGUCAGUGCCUCUUGCCUGCCCUUUGAAAGGGGGUUGGGUUGGACAACAUCCCUGGCAUUUCUGCCAGCCUUAAAAACCAUGAGACUGACCAAGCCGAUACAGUGCCAAUGUCUUUCUCCCUUCACUCGAACAGCUUUAAAGACCAGGAGAUCCUCCGUGUCUCUUACAGAGUCAAUAUUUUUGUUGUUGUUGUUUAGUAAGUGGGGGCGAAAAAAACAAAAAACAAAAAACAAAAAAAAACAAACUAAUUAGAGUCUCUGGAGUCCCGACUAAGUCCAUUUCCACAGCUGGGCCUUCCCUUGAUACCUCAACUCCCCUUCCCCCGGGAACCUGAGGGACUGCACACAAGGAAGGGAAUUGGGAGCCGUGGUUAAUGGCUCCAGCAGUCCCACAGAGGCAGUCUCCUCCCGUUCAAGAUCUCUGGUAGCUUUUCCUGCUCUUUCACAGGAAUGGCUGGGGAAUGGGUCUUGUUUAUAGGAAGAAUGUAAAUCUUGCCGUUCACUUUGAAAAAAACAGCCUUCUGUGUGACAGCCUGGUCAAGAACAACAAGAGCCACAUUGCUUUGGCUUUCUCAAGACUUCCUUUCCUCCCUCAGGGGCGGCUGCACAAGGGAAAGCAGGUGUUCAAAGGGAGUCGUGGAGCUUCCUCCUGCCAGUGGGUCACCAGAAAGGAAGAGGCUGCCUCACUCUUGGCCUCCAGGGCCUUCGGGCAGGGGGCCCUGGAAGCUCCAGUCAGAGCGGGGAAAGUUCAGCAGCACUGUUCCAGUUAAAUGCACUGAAGUGAGAAAUCGUGAGCGAGCCUUGAGACCACAGGACCAGGUUAGGAUUUCCAAAGAAAAUGCCUUUCUUCAUGGCAUGGUGUGCUUUUGUUUACUGCUGGGGCCUGUUGUCCUGUGAACCUCAGGUUUGCUCAGAAAUGUUCCAGGGGUUAUCUCAUUGCCAUGAUGUUUUGUCCCAGAAUAAGGAAACUAAAAACUCAUCGGCUCCCUUCGUGCGUUCAUCACCAUGCUACACCUGAGGCUUUAAUAAGAAAAACUAAAAUCUUAACAAGUCAGGAGACAACAGAUGUUGGCAAGGAUGUGGAGAAAGGGAUAAU
rnacentral:lncRNA from 12 species